GCUUGCGGCGCGUAAGUGCUGAUGACGUUGAGGACGCAACCCCCAAUAACCAACUUAAUAGACAUUAACCUAUCAUUCACUGGCCUAACCUCGACCACAGACUCCCUUAGAUCCUAUCUACCAAGAUUCCCACUCCAUUCUUGCCUCUCACGACCCCAGAAUACCUCAGCUUAAACCCGUCUACAUUCCUCGCCUUCAACCCUUUCCACCUAGUCUCCUGGACAAAUGCUAUGUUAACCCUCUUCUUCUGAAGAACAUUCGCC
rnacentral:lncRNA from 1 species